UACUAACUCUGGCGGCGUGCUUAACACAUGCAAGUCGAACGGAAAGGCCCUGCUUUUGUGGGGUGCUCGAGUGGCGAACGGGUGAGUAACACGUGAGUAACCUGCCCUUGACUUUGGGAUAACUUCAGGAAACUGGGGCUAAUACCGGAUAGGAGCUCCUGCUGCAUGGUGGGGGUUGGAAAGUUUCGGCGGUUGGGGAUGGACUCGCGGCUUAUCAGCUUGUUGGUGGGGUAGUGGCUUACCAAGGCUUUGACGGGUAGCCGGCCUGAGAGGGUGACCGGCCACAUUGGGACUGAGAUACGGCCCAGACUCCUACGGGAGGCAGCAGUGGGGAAUAUUGCACAAUGGGCGGAAGCCUGAUGCAGCAACGCCGCGUGCGGGAUGACGGCCUUCGGGUUGUAAACCGCUUUCGCCUGUGACGAAGCGUGAGUGACGGUAAUGGGUAAAGAAGCACCGGCUAACUACGU
rnacentral:rRNA from 1 species